rnacentral:rRNA from 1 species
AGAGUUUGAUCCUGGCUCAGGAUGAACGCUAGCGACAGGCUUAACACAUGCAAGUCGAGGGGCAGCACAGGUAGCAAUACCGGGUGGCGACCGGCGCACGGGUGAGUAACGCGUAUGCAACUUACCUAUCAGAGGGGGAUAACCCGGCGAAAGUCGGACUAAUACCGCAUGAAGCAGGGGCCCCGCAUGGGGAUAUUUGCUAAAGAUUCAUCGCUGAUAGAUAGGCAUGCGUUCCAUUAGGCAGUUGGCGGGGUAACGGCCCACCAAACCGACGAUGGAUAGGGGUUCUGAGAGGAAGGUCCCCCACAUUGGUACUGAGACACGGACCAAACUCCUACGGGAGGCAGCAGUGAGGAAUAUUGGUCAAUGGCCGAGAGGCUGAACCAGCCAAGUCGCGUGAGGGAUGAAGGUUCUAUGGAUCGUAAACCUCUUUUAUAAGGGAAUAAAGUGCGGGACGUGUCCCGUUUUGUAUGUACCUUAUGAAUAAGGAUCGGCUAACUCCGUGCCAGCAGCCGCGGUAAUACGGAGGAUCCGAGCGUUAUCCGGAUUUAUUGGGUUUAAAGGGUGCGUAGGCGGCCUUUUAAGUCAGCGGUGAAAGUCUGUGGCUCAACCAUAGAAUUGCCGUUGAAACUGGGGGGCUUGAGUAUGUUUGAGGCAGGCGGAAUGCGUGGUGUAGCGGUGAAAUGCAUAGAUAUCACGCAGAACCCCGAUUGCGAAGGCAGCCUGCCAAGCCAUUACUGACGCUGAUGCACGAAAGCGUGGGGAUCAAACAGGAUUAGAUACCCUGGUAGUCCACGCAGUAAACGAUGAUCACUAGCUGUUUGCGAUACACUGUAAGCGGCACAGCGAAAGCGUUAAGUGAUCCACCUGGGGAGUACGCCGGCAACGGUGAAACUCAAAGGAAUUGACGGGGGCCCGCACAAGCGGAGGAACAUGUGGUUUAAUUCGAUGAUACGCGAGGAACCUUACCCGGGCUUAAAUUGCAGAUGAAUUACGGUGAAAGCCGUAAGCCGCAAGGCAUCUGUGAAGGUGCUGCAUGGUUGUCGUCAGCUCGUGCCGUGAGGUGUCGGCUUAAGUGCCAUAACGAGCGCAACCCUUGUUGUCAGUUACUAACAGGUUCCGCUGAGGACUCUGACAAGACUGCCAUCGUAAGAUGUGAGGAAGGUGGGGAUGACGUCAAAUCAGCACGGCCCUUACGUCCGGGGCUACACACGUGUUACAAUGGGGGGUACAGAGGGCCGCUACCACGCGAGUGGAUGCCAAUCCCAAAAACCUCUCUCAGUUCGGACUGGAGUCUGCAACCCGACUCCACGAAGCUGGAUUCGCUAGUAAUCGCGCAUCAGCCACGGCGCGGUGAAUACGUUCCCGGGCCUUGUACACACCGCCCGUCAAGCCAUGGGAGCCGGGGGUACCUGAAGUGCGUAACCGCGAGGAGCGCCCUAGGGUAAAACUGGUGACUGGGGCUAAGUCGUAACAAGGUAGCCGUACCGGAAGGUGCGGCUG